CAAUGUCAAGUUCCUGUAGGUGUUACUCAGGUCGUCAGCGAACUCGUCCCAAUGGAGCUGGUGGCUCAGAAAUCAGAUACUUGGCUCGAUACCCAGGGCUUCCAGGCAGUGCUGAGCUGGAUAACGUGGGGGCGCCAUAGGGCACAGAUAAAGGGCUAUGUAGCGUUCUCUCUGAGCAUCAUCUCUAUAGGCGACGUGCAUAUCGUCGAAGUCCUGCAUCCUGUAAAAGUUAGGAAAAGGGAUCCUGAAAAUACAAACCGUUCAAAUAUUUAGUCUCGAUGAAAAUAUGAUAAAAAUAAAAAAUAAAAUAAAAUAAAUUAAAUGCAAAAAAAAUAAAAAAUCAU
rnacentral:lncRNA from 1 species